rnacentral:rRNA from 1 species
GAUCAAAUCAAGCGCGAGAAGGGCGUUUGGUGGAUGCCUUGGCAGUAAGAGGCGAUGAAGGACGUGAUACUCUGCGAUAAGCCGGGGGGAGCCGAGAAUAGGCUUUGAUCCCCGGAUCUCCGAAUGGGGCAACCCACCUGACAGUUCGUUAUUGUUGCGCAAGCAAUCAAUAACGCGCUGAAACAGGUACUUAAGACCUGAAUACAUAGGGUUUUAAGAGCAAACCCGGGGAACUGAAACAUCUAAGUACCCGGAGGAAAGGAAAUCAACUGAUACUCCCCUAGUAGCGGCGAGCGAACGGGGACCAGCCGAGCCAUGAAUGUGACCAGAACAGUCUGGAAAGUCUGACCAUAGUGGGUGACAGUCCCGUAUGGGAAGCAUGAUCGGACGUAUUAAGUAGGGCGGGACACGUGAAAUCCUGUCUGAAGAUCGGGGGACCACCCUCGAAGGCUAAGUACUCCUUACUGACCGAUAGCGAACCAGUACCGUGAGGGAAAGGUGAAAAGCACCCCGACGAGGGGAGUGAAACAGUACCUGAAACCGAACGCCUACAAUCAGUCGGAGGCUCCUCGAGAGCUGACGGCGUACCUUUUGUAUAAUGGGUCAUCGACUUGGUCUCACGAGCAAGCUUAAGCCGAUAGGUGUAGGCGCAGCGAAAGCGAGUCUUAAUAGGGCGUCGAGUUCGUGGGAUCAGACCCGAAACCGAGUGAUCUAGGCAUGACCAGGCUGAAGGUGCGGUAACACGCACUGGAGGGCCGAACCCACACCUGUUGAAAAAGGUCGGGAUGAGCUGUGCCUAGGGGUGAAA